AUGGACGACGGCGACGGCGGCCUCAGCUUCGAUUUCGAGGGCGGCCUCGACACGGGCCCAGCGGCGGGCGGGCUAGCGCUGUCCUCGGCCGACGCCGGCGCGACCGGCGGCGGCGGCGGCGGAGAUGGGGGCGGGCACGGGCGAGGCCGCGGGCGCGGCAGCUACAGGCAGACGGUGUGCCGGCACUGGCUGCGCGGGCUGUGCAUGAAGGGCGAGGCGUGCGGGUUCCUCCACCAGUUCGACAAGGCCCGCAUGCCCGUGUGCCGCUUCUUCCGCGACUACGGCGAGUGCCGCGAGCCGGAUUGCGCCUACAAGCACUCCUACGACGACGUCAAGGAGUGCAACAUGUAUAAGAUGGGAUUUUGCCCUAAUGGCCCAAAUUGCCGAUACAAGCAUGUCAAGUUACCUGGACCACCACCUCCUGUCGAGGAAGUUCUCGCGAAGAUUUUGCAGAUGCGGUCUUCCAAUUUCAACAAGUUUAAUCAGCACAGGAACAAUAAUUAUAAUCAGCAGGGGGACAGGCCUCGACCUCCACCUGGUUCAGGCUUACCUAACCAAAAUUCGACAGACAAUGCUUCAACAAUGCAACCAGCUGCUGGGCAACAAGCUCAAACAAUGAAUCAACAGCCCCAACAGAAGCAGCAGCAGGUGCAGCAGCAGCAGAAGCCAAAUACAAACGACCAGGUUCAAGGUGUUCCAAAUGGCUCCUCUAAUCAACCCACCAGACUUGCAACACCCCUCCCGCAAGGGUCGUCUAGGUACUUCAUUGUUAAGAGUUGCAAUCGGGAGAACCUGGAAAUAUCAGUUCAGCAGGGAAUCUGGGCUACUCAAAGGAGUAAUGAGGCUAAACUAAAUGAAGCUUUUGAAUCCAUGGACAAUGUUAUUUUAAUAUUCUCAAUCAAUAGAACACGUAAUUUCCAGGGUUGUGCAAAGAUGACUUCUAGGAUUGGUGGCUACAUUGGUGGCGGAAACUGGAAAUCUGCUAAUGGAACAGCACAUUAUGGUCGGAACUUCUCACUACAGUGGCUUAAGCUUUGCGAAUUGUCGUUUCAGAAAACUCAUCAUCUUCGCAACCCAUACAAUGACAAUCUCCCUGUCAAGAUCAGUCGAGAUUGCCAGGAAUUAGAACCUUUCAUUGGUGAGCAAUUGGCUUCUCUGCUUUAUCUGGAGCCAGAUAGUGAACUUACGGCUAUGCUAGUUGCAGCAGAGGCCAAGAGAGAAGAGGAAAAGGCGAAGGGAGUCAGUGCCGACGAAGCAGCUGACAACCAAGAUAUUGUGCUGUUUGAGGACAAUGAAGAAGAGGAGGAAGAGGAAAGUGAGGAGGAAGACGAAAACAAUGGCCAAGAAUCCCAGGGAAGGGGGCGGGGAAGGGGAAUGAUGUGGCCGCCUCAGAUGCAGAUGCCACGUGGACCAAUGAUGGGACCGCGCGGCUUCCCUCCCAACAUGAUGGGCGAUUUUGGUGGCGGUUUCGGCUUUGGCAUGCCCGAUCCGUUCGGCAUGCCGCGUGGCUUCCCACCAUUCGGUGGCCCAAGGUUCCCCGGUGACUUCCCCAGAGGUCCCAUGCCUGGCAUGGUCUUCCCCGGAAGGCCUCCGCAGCCCGGCGGCAUGUUUCCCAUGGGCCUCGAGAUGAUGAUGGGCCCCGGCCGAGGGCCGCUCAUGGGAAUGGGCGGGCCAGGACGGCCGAACCGCCCCAUCGGCAUGGCCCCCUUCAUGCCGCCGCCGCCACCCCGUCCCGUGAAACGGGACCAGAGGAGGCCGGGCGGCGACAACAGGGGUGACAGGUACGAGACAGGGUCUGACCAGGGGAGCAGGGGCCAUGACAACAAUGCCGGCAACUCCGGAGCAGACGGGAACAGGUCCCAGUCCGGGGACAGGUUUGGCAGGAGCGCCUUCCGGGACGACGACAGCGAGAGCGACGAGGAGGCGGCACCCAGGCGGUCAAGGAAGCGAUAG
rnacentral:rRNA from 1 species